UACGUAGGGUGCAGGCGUUAAUCGGAAUUACUGGGCGUAAAGCGUGCGCAGGCGGUUUCUUAAGUCAGAUGUGAAAGCCCCGGGCUUAACCUGGGAACUGCGUUUGAAACUGGGAGACUUGAGUGUGGCAGAGGGGGGUGGAAUUCCACGUGUAGCAGUGAAAUGCGUAGAUAUGUGGAGGAACACCGAUGGCGAAGGCAACCCCCUGGGUUAACACUGACGCUCAUGCACGAAAGCGUGGGGAGCAGACAGG
rnacentral:rRNA from 1 species